ensembl:lncRNA
GUUUAUAUGAGACAUGUAUUGUCUGUUCCAUGCUGCCCUCUUGCACACGGCUCACUUGAAAAACAGAUCAUCCCAAUGAGUUUUACCUGAUUAAAUAAAAGGUUAAAAUAAAUAAAAACACUUCCCUCAAACGUCGAGUUCGAGGUAAAUUAUCCGUGAGUGCGAGAGAAAGUUAACUCCAGGCAGCGAUAACAGUAUGAGGAUUUUUAUUUAAUAUAUGUAUAAUAACCAUAGAAUAUACAGACUAUAACCCUUUAGAACUCAUUUUUGACAAUCAAAUCAUAUUCUCUUAGAAUAAAACUUCCUUAUAAGACCAGAGGGGGAAAAUAUAGAAAGAUUGAAACAUUGCCAAUUAUUGUUAUACACCCAUAAGAGAAAUGACUCUAAAUAAAAACUAAUCAUUAAAACAGAAAAAAAAUACAACUUUAACAACUCCCUUUUUGUGUAAAAAAGGAAAAAAAAUAAGACAACACCCCACCAACGACAGCAUUAAUAAGAACGUUUAAAACCACAUCAGGAAACGGACCUUGCAUCAGGUAAGCCUUUAGAAAUCUGUCUUUAAGUGCAAUCGGCCACACAAAUGCUGUGUGUGUGUGUGUGUGUGUGUGUGUGUGUGUGUGUGUGUGUGUGUGUGUCAGCGCACUGUUAACCGUCACACAACAUCCUCAUCAUCAACUCCCCCCAAACGCCCUUCAUCUCUUCCCCCCCCCCCCAAGCAUGAGACAGACGGACGGGGAGAUACAUUAAGAGGACCAGAGAGCUAACAACAGAACACCAACACACACACACACACCCCCCCACACAGACAGACAGACAUAUGUCGGGAGGGGGGAGAGAGAAGGGAGCAAGCUAAGGCAAAGUGCAGGUGUGCUGAUUGAGCCGUCAGAUUGGGACCAGUUCCUCCACACCACACACACACACACACACACACACACACACACACACACACACCCCCCACGGACACACACAAAUAGGUGAUGCUCCAAUUGGUGAUGAGGCCGUUGCUGCAGGGGCCCGGGGGGUGGGGGAUGGAGCAGCCCUUUGAGUGAAGCAUGGUGAGGGGGGGGGGGGGGGUUCGGUGACGCCCGGGAGCCCGUAGGUCCGGGAUGGGAUCAAACCAUCUCAUGUGAGACGCUCUGUGAUUGGGUAAGGCCGGGCCAUCGUCCUGGCAACAGGGGGAGCGGGAAGCAACAUGAACAGAGCUACCGGUCCAAGGGAGGAGCCAGGCGACAAGAGGGAGGAGCCAGGAGACGAGAGGGAGGAGACAGGAGACAAGAGGGAGGAGCCAGGAGACGAGAAGGAGGAGACAGGAGACGAGAGGGAGGAGCCAGGAGAUGAGAAGGAGGAGCCAGGAGACGAGAGGGAGGAGACAGGAGACGAGAAGGAGACAGGAGGCAGGAGACAAGAGGGAGGAGACACUGACAGGAGACAAGACGGAAGAGGGAGGAGACACUGACAGGAGACAAGACGGAAGAGGGAGGAGACAGGAGGGAGGAGACGAGAUUGGAGACAGGAGACGAGUGGGAGAUGAGAGAUUGUAGGGAGGAGACUAUACAUUAACAUGGAGGUGAGGUGAGCGGGAGGAGACGUACGGACAGACAGACGCACGGCCUGAUGAGCUCACACUGGAGAUAAACGAAGCAGAACUCGGAGCACAGCCGUCGACGCGGCGGAAAGACGCCAGCCGGCCUCAACGCUGGCUACGGAAAACAGGUCUGAACGAUGCCAACAUAAUUACUAAGUCUGAAGAUUAGUUGUUUUUUUGUCCGUUUUUCUUUUUUUUUUUUUACAAGAAAAAUACAACGGCUAUCGAAUAGCGAAAGGAAACGAGGGAGGAGGGAGGAGGGAGGAGGCAGCAAGCAGGAGCACAGCGGCGGAACGGAGUCUCACAUCACCGGUUUGAACCGGGGGGGGGAAGAAGUCUCCGUACGCCGUCUCUCAGUCUGCUCACUGCCCCAUCUCAGCCGUCACUAACCUAAUAAGCCUCUCGUUCAAAACGCCCCGUCACUGAUUCUCUUCUCCCCUCUAUGGUAGCGUCAGAAGUGGCAUGAUCAGAAUAGAUAUGGCAGAGAAUUACUAAGCGGUACUGUAAUAAUGCAAAGUAGUUUAGAUUCAAGUAACACCAGCCAUGCCCCGCCCCUGCCCCGCCCCCAGGCCAUGGAAAUCAUUUCAAAGGACGCUUGAUUUUUUGGAGACAAUUUGAAAGUCAACGAGGACCUUUAAUUAAAAAAAGCAGAAGCUAAAUAUGGAGGAUGGAGCGGGCGGGGUCCUCGCCCGAGACACCGAGGCUGCUGCUGCUGGGAGGAGAAAGCGCUGCGCUCCAGGGAGGAGCCGGGGUGGUCAGCAGGACCCCCGCUCGCGACCUCUGACCCUGGAGCAGCUACUGAUGGGUUACAUUUUAAUCAUCACAUGCCAAGGAGCCCGUGUUGCUGAGCGCCGGUGAUGCAGAAGCACAGGAGCAGAAGCUCCGCUCAGCACGGGCCAGACCCCGGGACUCGGGGGGGCGUUGGAGAGAGCGUCACAAUAAGUUGCGUUGUCGAAAGGUCUUGUUAAUCAUUUACAAAAAUAAAACACAAAAAACCAAAACCAUUGUUAAAUAUCACACUUGAUCCAACGCUAAAUUCUCUCUUGCAUCAAAAAAGCUCCUCUAGAAACAGUUUUGAGUCUCUGGUUCACUCGGAAAAACUGCAAUCACAUCAAAAGACUAAAGUCGAGUUUCACUACAGUUAAAAAAUAAUGGCUGCAAGUAUCACAAGUGCAUCUGAAACGGGGCUCGGACCGCCCCCCCCCCUUGUUCCUUAGCUUUCCAUUUCUAAAUUACUUGGCGUUGUUUGAAGCGGGAACUUGAGUUGUGUUUUACCCUCAGAACAGUACAGGUUCAGGAAAUGCGUUGAAGUUCAGAGUACAAAAAUGUGAGCCACCGCCAGCUGAUCAUCAGAUACCCCCCCGAGAGGAAGAUAGCCCCCCUAGAGGGCGCUAGCCCCCAAGAGGAAGCUAGCCCCCAAGAGAG